rnacentral:rRNA from 1 species
AUACGAAGGGGGCAAGCGUUGUUCGGAAUAACUGGGCGUAAAGCGCACGUAGGCGGAUUGAUAAGUUAGAGGUGAAAUCCCAGGGCUCAACCCUGGAACUGCCUUUAAUACUGUCAGUCUAGAGAUCGAGAGAGGUGAGUGGAAUUCCGAGUGUAGAGGUGAAAUUCGUAGAUAUUCGGAGGAACACCAGUGGCGAAGGCGGCUCACUGGCUCGAUACUGACGCUGAGGUGCGAAAGCGUGGGGAGCAAACAGGAUUAGAAACCCUAGUAGUCC